rnacentral:rRNA from 1 species
GGUGAACGCUGGCGGUGGGCCUAACACAUGCAAGUCGAACGGCAGCACAGUAAGAGCUUGCUCUUACGGGUGGCGAGUGGCGGACGGGUGAGGAAUACAUCGGAAUCUACUUUUUCGGGGGGGAUAACGUAGGGAAACUUACGCUAAUACCGCAUCCGCCCUACGGGUGAAAGCAGGGGAUCUUCGGCCCUUGCGCGAUUGAAUGAGCCGAUGUCGGAUUAGCUAGUUGGCGGGGUAAAGGCCCACCAAGGCGACGAUCCGUAGCUGGUCUGAGAGGAUGAUCAGCCACACUGGAACUGAGACACGGUCCAGACUCCUACGGGAGGCAGCAGUGGGGAAUAUUGGACAAUGGGCGCAAGCCUGAUCCAGCCAUACCGCGUGGGUGAAGAAGGCCUUCGGGUUGUAAAGCCCUUUUGUUGGGAAAGAAAAGCAGCAGGUUAAUACCCCGCUGUUCUGACGGUACCCAAAGAAUAAGCACCGGCUAACUUCGUG